AUUGAACGCUGGCGGCAGGCCUAACACAUGCAAGUCGAACGAGCGGCGGACGGGUGAGUAAUGUCUGGGGAACUGCCUGAUGGAGGGGGAUAACUACUGGAAACGGUAGCUAAUACCGCAUACCAUCAGAUGUACCCAUAUGGGAUUAGCUAGUAGGUGGGGUAAAGGCUCACCUAGGCGCCGAUCCCUAGCUGGUCUGAGAGGAUGAUCAGCCACACUGGGACUGAGACACGGUCCAGACUCCUACGGGAGACAGCAGUGGGGAAUAUUGCACAAUGGGCGCAAGCCUGAUGCAGCCAUGCCGCGUGUAUGAAGAAGGCCUUCGGGUUGUAAAGUACUUUCAGCUGGGAGGCGUUACCCGCAGAAGAAGCACCGGCUAACUCCGUGCCAGCAGCCGCGGUAAUAC
rnacentral:rRNA from 1 species